CAAGGGAAGGUGAUGAGUGGGUCUAAUCUCGCUGAUAACAUGCGGGAUGGGUGUUCGCCCCAACGCCUGGUUACGACGCUCGGGCACCCCAAUCUUAACCAUUCUGAUUCCCCAAACGCCCACCUCUUUCAAACAGAAAAAUUUUAAGAAGCUUUUAUUUGUUUACGCCGGUUUUUACAGAAAAUUUUUCUACUGUUUCUUUGGAUUGUUUUAAGGUGGAAAACAAUUUUUAUCUUCGGUCAACAAUCAAGAAAUUGCUCGACUCUUUGCUUCGGAUCAACCAUUUCUCGACACCCUUUCCGAAUUACAGUGGCUGAACUGAGGCAUCUGGGGUUUGUUUUCUUGGUUAAGUUCUAAUGCGAGGGAUCUGAUUACUUUGGAAUAUUAAUAAUAUGUUGUCGUCAAUUUUCCAUCGUUGAAGUAAUGGAGGAAGAUUGAAGCGCCUGCCAUAUACAAUCUGCGAACGCAUUUGGUGUUCUGGGGGCAAAUGUCACCAAAUGUGAUGGGAUGUGCGCCCCACUUGUUUGUUGGUAUCUCCCAACAAGCGUACACUCCAUCGUGGGAUAUAAAAGAACUGCUAGCUUUCGAAUAAAUCUUUAAUUAUUUCACUCUUUCAGUCUUUCUCUCUGAUAUGAUCAAAAUCCAAGCUUUACAAACCCAACAGUCUUACGUGUCACUGGACGUUCCUGAGAAUUCUUGACAAUGAUAGCCGAAGUUGCCGGUGAAGCGGGAGCCCCAUUUUCUUGCAUCUAUUGUCAACUUUGCCUUAAGCUGGUCCAAAACAUUCCCUUUGGUUGAGGGUUUCCAGAACAGGAUCACGGAUAAAUGCGAAAAUGAGCGCAUAUGCAUCUCAUCCGAUGAUCAAUGUCAGAUCAGUGGUUUAAAAGACUGCUAACUUUAAGGGAUGACUUGACAUGAGUUGAUAUGGAGGAACUAUGCAUCUUCGCGUGCUCGAUGGAUGAUGCUCUCAGUUGGGUGUGAGGAUAAGCUCAUGCCUCGACUCUCCAGGUUGGCUAGACUGGACUUAAUAUGGUGUCCAUGUGUUGUAUAUGCAGAGACUGUGUUGAAGUCUUGAAGGCGAGCUUCAUUUGUUCUUCAACAGCAGAGUUGCAAAGAGUAUUUUGAAGAAGUGCUGGCACAUUUUGGUGUGAAGAAAUCUUCCUUGGUGGUCUUAUUGCAGGUCCUAAAUGGAGGCAAAUUCAAUAAUAAGUCUAUAUUAAAAUGCUGGAAGAAUUGUUACCACGUUACAAUUUGGUUUAUUUGGAGGUUUUGUAACAGGUAUAAGCAUGAAAAACAAGCAUUGGAGGCAAGCCCUGCACGUAUUGCUGGAAAUGUUGCAGAGAACAUUUACUGCUAUUGCAGUGAAAGAAAGAAUGAAGGGAGGCAGUGCAAGUGUGGACGGAGCUAGGAAUUCUAUGGGAGAAAAAUUAAGUGGAGGGAUAUCAACGAAAUAUAUGUUCAGCUCGCCAAUUGCAGGAAAUCUGGUUGUAUUGGUUCGGCUGCGUUGGUUACUGCUGCUGCGGGCGGGCGACCAUAUCUAUGGUGUCUCAAGUUGGUCCCAACAGUUUGCAGAUCAUAACAAUAGCUGGAACAUGGCAGUGAAAUGGCUGCUGAUAAAAUGCUUAAAGAAAUUAGUUGACGAAGCAGUGCUGAAGGAAGUCGGCUGCAUUGUGAUCUUUUGUAGCAUCUCUGGUUUACGCAAGAGUAAUGCUGGGACACUUAAUGGUAGCAGCAGGCCGGUUUUUCCUUUUCUGAAUCAGCUGGGUAAUCCUAUGCUGCAAGUUAGUGAAGUGCUGUGCUGUCUUCCCACUUGGUGUCUAAAUUGCUCUACACCCCGUUUUCUCAAUUUUACAAGGAAUGGUGAGGUCUUCCGAGGGCUGGUCCCUCGAUUUUUGUAAUUAGCUUAUGUUCAAAGGCUUUGGCCUCCAUUUUGUUCUUCUUGUUCAUAAAACUUUUGGCAAUAAAGGCUGGGGGACAGUUUUCCCCGCAGCUGGUUUUUUGAA